GACGAACGCUGGCGGCGUGCUUAACACAUGCAAGUCGAGCGCAGGAAGCCGUCCGAACCCUUCGGGGGGACGACGGUGGAAUGAGCGGCGGACGGGUGAGUAACACGUAAAGAACCUGCCCAUAGGUCUGGGAUAACCACGAGAAAUCGGGGCUAAUGCCGGAUGUGUCAUCGGACCGCAUGGUCCGCUGAUGAAAGGCGCUCCGGCGUCGCCCAUGGAUGGCUUUGCGGUGCAUUAGCUAGUUGGUGGGGUAACGGCCCACCAAGGCGACGAUGCAUAGCUGACCUGAGAGGGUGAUCGGCCACACUGGGACUGAGACACGGCCCAGACUCCUACGGGAGGCAGCAGUAGGGAAUCUUCCACAAUGGACGAAAGUCUGAUGGAGCAACGCCGCGUGAACGAUGAAGGCUUUCGGGUCGUAAAGUUCUGUUGUAAGGGAAGAACAAGUGCCGCAGGCAAUGGCGGCACCUUGACGGUACCUUGCGAGAAAGCCACGGCUAACUACGUGCCAGCCGCCGCCGUAA
rnacentral:rRNA from 1 species